UGUACUUGUCUGGUGUCCGUUUGUCAUCCC
rnacentral:piRNA from 1 species